rnacentral:misc_RNA from 1 species
CCGAGUUUUCACAACUCCCAACCCUUGCGAACCGUACCCCAGUCUGUUCUCGUUGCUUCCGGCGGCGCGGGAGGGGGGGCCGGCCCUUGACCGGGCCUCCCCCCCUCCCCCCGCCGGGGGCGGCGGGCCCUCUGAACCUUUUUUUUUUAAAACGACCAGUCGCCGUCUGAGCAAACAAAAAAAAAUUAUCA